UACAGAGGUCUCAAGCGUUGUUCGGAUUCAUUGGGCGUAAAGGGUGCGUAGGUGGCGGGGUAAGUCAGGUGUGAAAUCCCUGGGCUCAACCCAGGAACUGCACUCGAAACUGCCUUUCUUGAGUGCCGGAGAGGAAAGCGGAAUACCUGGUGUAGAGGUGAAAUUCGUAGAUAUCAGGUGGAACACCAGUGGCGAAGGCGGCUUUCUGGACGGUAACUGACGCUGAGACGCGAAAGCGUGGGGAGCAAACAGG
rnacentral:rRNA from 1 species